CAAAAAAACAACAAAAAAACCCCUGAAAAAUUCCUUGUUACCAUCAAUACAGAAGUGGUCACAAUUGUAUUAAAAUGUGUAUGCAUAUAGGGAAAGUAUAAACGCCAACACACCUGCCUGUCAUUUCAGCUAACAACUUACCCAGGUGGUUUCUCAGGUGUUUCCAUAUAUUCAGGUUGAUGUUGAUGAAAAUCUAUGGCCCAAUGCAGUAGACAGGAUAGAUUGUCCAGGCCAACAGUAGACGUCUGAUGCUGAUAGGCAGAUUUAUUGUAUAUUUUUCAUUUCUGAAGUACAGUAUAUUACACUGAGAACAAAUGGCAAAAUACAGUAAACCCUCAGAAGAACACUGGCUUUUAAAACUUAUUUCUUUAUCAUAUAUUUUUAUAUUAUACAGUAAAUAUUGUUAUUCGUGGCAUAUGUUAUAGCAGCAGUAGUCACAUUUGGAUGAAAAACGAAGUGUUUAAGUGCAUUUUGCACUAAUGAUUAUUGAUAACUGAUGUGCUAAGGUGUGUUUCAAAAGCACACUGUGUAAAGAGCUUUGAAGAAGUGGACAUGGUAUUGAAACAAGUGUGAAAAUUGUUGUAAAUAACUAAACAAAUACGGACUGUCUUAUAUUUCAGAUUCUUCAAAGUAGCCACCCUUUACUUCACUACUAGCAAUGCAUGCUCUUGGUAUUCUUUUAACUAGUUUCAUGAGGCAGCCAGCUUUGAUGUCUUGAAGAAACAUAGCUAUGCUGUAAAAAAAAUUCUGAAUACAAAAACACUUCUUAAAACACCUGUUAAAAAUUAAUUUGAACUUAUAUAUAUAUAUGACACCAUUAACUUUCACUAUUAUAUUUGUUUACAAAUAUAAUGAUGUGAUUGUCAAAAUAAUGUCAUUGUAUUUGGGAAUAGGCCCUUAACAAGCAGACUGUGAACCAAUUCCUUGGAAUACUGGCACCACCGAGCUGAGGAGGGAAGGGUAUCAGACUCAAAGAUAAAACAUCACCUUUGCACGAGAUGCAGUUCCGUCCUCCACAUUGCAAGCCACAGCUUGACCAUCUGAAAGCUUGAGGGAGCUGCUGGAGUGUUUGGUCAGGAUGACCAAAGCUCUACUGUACACACUGCUAUUGACAUAAGCAGAUAUAUGACUAGUGCUCACUUGCCAACAACAGAGGACCACCCUGAAGCACACUCCUGUAUUCCCUCAUCUCCAUACUCUGGCACAUCAGAAUCUUUCUCUGACUGCAAGCCCAGUAGGUGAUGAGCGCAUGCUCUCAAAAGCUGCUGCUAUCAUCAGUUAAAAAAAGGAACACCCCCUCCCCCAAAAGCGCCACAAUGCGAAAGAAUAAUAACGAAAGUUUUUUUGAAUAAAGGAUGACGCAGCAAACAAUAAGACCGAGUUAAAUCUUCAUUUUGCUUGUUUCAAUGCUGCGCCUAAUCACAGUAGCCUAGGUCAUCUAAAGUUUCUUCACAUAACAAUGUUGGAUAGAAACAUGACUUAAUUCAUAUUUUAGCCGUUCUAAGAUACCCUAGAAAUGUGGCAGAGCAACAUGGUGGUCUCUGUUGGAAGAUGGGCCAGUCUGUGUGUAGAUAUGAAGUGCUCAUUGUAUGCUAACGAAAACACAAUUCAUACUUACAGGUGGUUAUACACAAAUGAAAACAUGGUAUUGUAUACUUUCUGCCAAUAGGUCCCCUAAAUCCUACUCACUGCACCUUUAAGGGUUUAAAAUGUCGUCACCAUAUUUAAAAAAAAAAAAAAAA